AUGGAUCAUUUUAGUUCAGGUGUGGAAACUUACUGUGAUGGCAGACCGGAUGGAGCUCAGUGUUAUGGAGCUUUGGGAGGAACUGUGGAGAUCCAGCUGAUGAACAGCACCUCAAAAAUACCUCGAUACCAACUGUUAAAGAAUUCAUUAAAAAUACUAGAUGUGAGAAAAAAAAAGAUUCUUUCUAAUAUCAUACAAAAUAGGUCUCUCUUUUUUCCCAGUAAUGGAACAUUUAGGCUCAAUUACCUGAGCAGGAAUGACAGUGGUAAUUAUAGCCUUAUAACAUUUAAUUCAGAUGGAAAAGCAUCAGACGAGCAGACUCUACACUUGUUUGUUCAAGGUAAUGUUUUCCUUGUUUUGAAAUACAGUAAAGGCAUUAAUAGAUAUGAAACAGAAAAUUCAGAUACACGUAUUGUAUGAUUUUUGCUUCCCUAUUUAUGUUCCCUAUCAAAGACUAUAAAGAAUGACCUAGAUUCUGAUUUCAGAUCUAAACUCAUCUGUGUGUGUUUCUCUCAGCUCCUGUGUCCUCUGUCCUGCUGGUCUCUGAGUGUCUGUCCCAGGGAGAGAGGAGGGUGUCCUGCUCCUCUGAGGGAGGGGACAGUCCUCAGUACAGCUGGACUCUGGAUGGACGCACACUGACAGAUGCUGAGCUCCUUUCUGUAAAUAAUGAGACUAACAGCAUCACUCUGAAACAGCACGUCUCAGGACGUCUGGUCUGCUCAGUGAGGAACAACGUCAGUGAUGCCUUCAAAGUACAGAAGAUAUCUACCUGUGGUGAGUGAGAGCACUGUGAAUUUUUGUUAUCAUUACCUGGACUCUAGUUGGCUGUGCCUUAAUAAACGCAUCUUCACCUAACAACAUUCAGUAGCCACAAAAGCACCAGUUAUUUUUUAGAUAAACAUUUUCAUAUGAUUCUUGCUCUCUGUCUCUUCUUCUCUCUAAUUUAUACACAUAUUUCACAAUGGAAUUUUAUUUUAACUGGAACUUUGAAGCCACAUUUUUAAAGUGUUGUAAAGAACAGAAAGUGUUCUGGCUGUGUGUGUGUGUUUUAAAAAAUAUAUAUUUUCAGUUACUAACAUAGUUGUACGAAAAUAAACAAAAAUAAAAUGGCAGUUACAAUACCAUCUAUGAUUUUAUUGAUUUAUUGUGGCACCAAAUGUCUACCCAAACAGUGAACUAUUCAGAGGUCCAUGCUGCUCAUGUGUUCAACAAUAAAUGCAUCUUUGCAAAAACACAGACAAACAGUAGUUGCAGUAACACCAUUUCUGUUUCAGGUAAACAUUUGUCACUGCUGCCAGUCCAUUGUAAUAAUUUUGCUUUUGUUUCCUUUUUUGUGUGUUUGCAGGUGUGGGAACUUACUGUGAUGGCAGACAGGAUGGAGCUCAGUGUUAUGGAGCUUUGGGAGGAAGUGUGGAGAUCAAGCUGAUGGACAGCACCUCAAAAAUACCUCGAUACCAUUUGUUAAAGAAUUCAUUAAAAAUACUAGAUGUGAGAAAGAAAAAGAUUCUUUCUAAUAUCAUAGAACAUAAAUUUCUCUUUUUUCCCAGUAAUGGAACAUUUAGGCUCAAUUAUCUGAGCAGGACAGACAGUGGUAAUUAUAGCCUUAAAACCUUUGAUUCGGAUGGAAAAGCAUCAGACGAGCAGACUCUACACUUGUUUGUUCAAGGUAAUGUUUUCCUUGUUUUGAAAUUAAGCCAUUAAUAAGUACGAAUAUAAUUUUAACAUCAUUUGAGAAAUCUAUAUCUAUGUAUUUUAUGGUUUAUACAUAUUUUUCACUGAAGACUAUAAGGAAUGACUGAUUUAAUUCUGCAAUUCUAAUUUGAAAUCAAAACUCAUCUGUGUGUGUUUCUCUCAGCUCCUGUGUCCUCUGUCCUGCUGGUCUCUGAGUGUCUGUCCCAGGAAGAGAGGAUGGUGUCCUGCUCCUCUGAGGGAGGGGACAGUCCUCAGUACAGCUGGACUCUGGAUGGACGCACACUGACAGAUGCUGAGCUCCUUUCUGCAAAUAAUGAGACUAACGUUAUCACUCUGAAACAGCACGUCUCAGGACGUCUGGUCUGCUCAGUCAGGAACAACGUCACUAAUGUUUUCAUAGAACACAGGAUGUCUACCUGUGGUGAGUGAGAACCUUAUGAAUUAAAGUUAAUAAGCAUAAAUUUAAUUUUUAUGGUCAUUAUGUCUUGAACUGUUUGUUUGUUGGAUCACACUAUGCUUCAUUUUUAUUAACUGCAGCUCCAUCAGUGGGAUACAGACAUCAGGGUGGGUAUAUGAAAACAAUGUGCAUUGAACCAACAGCAGACCCAGCUCUGCCUAACAUGUGAUUUUGGUGUCUCUGAACAGAUAAGUCCUUGCUUAUAUGUGGUUUGCGAGCAGUUGUGGUCAUUCUCUUGCUAAUUGGGAUUUCCAUCUACUUCGCUUGGAAAAAAAAGGAACAUGCCAAAGCUGAAGUCUCUGCUGUCCCACAAACAAGAGGAGAUCCAGAAGACUCUGUUCUGAUGGUUGAAAUGAGUUCUGCAACUUACACCAACACCUAGUGUCACCUUUUACUUGCUGUUGUUUUUGUCAUUGGUUCACAAGCAUGAAAAUAACAUUUAGAGAGAAAUUCUUGUUUCACAGACAGCUCAUAUUGAAUUAUGAUGAGACGCUCUGUGGUUUCUGGAUUUUACAUUUUUAAUACAAAUCUUUACAAUUCUUAAACAAUAAAGUCUUGAAUUAAGUUUUCU
rnacentral:lncRNA from 1 species